rnacentral:rRNA from 1 species
UGCGUAGGGUGCAAGCGUUAAUCGGAAUUACUGGGCGUAAAGCGUGCGCAGGCGGCUUUGCAAGACAGAUGUGAAAUCCCCGGGCUUAACCUGGGAACUGCAUUUGUGACUGCAUGGCUAGAGUGCGGCAGAGGGGGAUGGAAUUCCGCGUGUAGCAGUGAAAUGCGUAGAUAUGCGGAGGAACACCGAUGGCGAAGGCAAUCCCCUGGGCCUGCACUGACGCUCAUGCACGAAAGCGUGGGGAGCAAACAGG